UAAACGACUCUCGGCAACGGAUAUCUCGGCUCUUGCAUCGAUGAAGAACGUAGCGAAAUGCGAUACUUGGUGUGAAUUGCAGAAUCCCGUGAACCAUCGAGUCUUUGAACGCAAGUUGCGCCCGAAGCCAUUAGGCCGAGGGCACGCCUGCCUGGGCGUCACAC
rnacentral:rRNA from 1 species